CUGCUCCCUCAGGGCUGGCUAGCUCCCCAUCCUAACAGUGAGGGUUACCAGCAACCCUUGCUCUGUCCCCUGAGCCAUUUGGGACUUAAUUUACCAAAUUCUUUUAUCAAUUCCCAAAUAUUUUACAAAUUGUGAUACUGAAAUUCUGGAGGAAGAAGCUGGGCUAGUUUGUGCACAGAGAACCAGAGCAUUCACAUCAACAUCCAGCAUGCAUUUGAGUGGAGGAAGCAGUGUGAUCCAUGUCCUCUGAAAGUGGCCCCUUUCAGGCACACAGGACUGUGGAGGACAGACACUGCACUAACUGAAGAUAAGAAAUGCUACAGUAGAGUGUGACAGGUCGCUUUUUAAGAAUUGAGGAAAGGAUGCAGUGGAGAGAAAUCUAAGCCUUUGCUGAAAAUCCUCAUCUCUACUCAGUUUGGACUGCCCAGUUGGAGUGUCCAGGCUCUGAGCAGAUAAUUUAAGUGUGGAACUCAAAGCCCUCAAGUAACUGUUAUUUCUUAACAAGAUGUGGUAAAAGAGGAGAACAAGUGAAAAAAACCCUUGCAAAACUGGCUUUUUCAGCCAUCAAUGGCAGGUCUGCUACAAAAGAUGCUCCAAGGCCAUUUUUAACCUUUUUGUCCUUUCACUCUCUGGGUGCUGCACAGCAGCUUCCUUUCCAGGUAAAUAUCUGGCUGUCAAGGCUGCAGGAAAAAGCACGAACCCAAGCACGCCCUGGAGUUAAAAACCCGACUAAACAAACUCUUAAAAACAGGUGAAGCAGAAAGAUAAAAGAUCAAAAGAAAGUGAAUUUCCAUAGUUUUCAAAACAUGGCUUUUUUCAGGUUCUACUUGUUUUCUGAGCACUGGGUUUAUAAAUGCUGUUUUUAUUUGUAUGCUGAUGACCAUAGCAGUUCUUUAACUCUUUGAAAAUGAGUCCUCUGAAUUCCUAUGGGGUGCUGUGGAUCCCACUGCUAGCAAGGGAUCUUUCUUUGGAUGUGUUACAGACUGGCCACUGAAAAGGGUUAAAGGGUUGGAACUCAUGGUGUUCACAUAAACUAAACUUGACUAACUGCAGUUGUUCUGUGGCACAUCUUCCUUGUUUACAGUUUAUUUUAAGAUGUAUUUUGUUCAACAGUAAACAUCUCUUGUCCUUCAGAGAAAUUGUUUUCUCCUUUGUCAGCAUCUUGUGCCUUACUUACUUGAGAAAUAUUCUUAAACUUCAGUCCUUUUAGUUCUGUAUUUCUGCCUUGCUGUGUUUAAAAUUCCUGUGACUUACCUGUUUCUUGA